rnacentral:rRNA from 1 species
GUGAUCGCCCAUUGCCACUUCCGGGAUAACCUUGGGAAACUUGGGUCUAAUUCCCGGGAUUAGGACAACCUGGUUUAANGCCAGCAUUUGGGAAAGUUUUUCCGGGUGCAAGAUGAGCUCCGGGCCUAUCCAGCUUUCUUGUGGGGUUAAUGGCCUGACCAAGGCGUUCGACGGGUACCGGNCCCUGAGAAGGGUGUACGGCCACAAUUGGGACUGUAGAUACGGCCCAGACUCCUACGGGAGGCACANUGGGGAAUAUUGCACAAUGGGCGGAAGCCUGAUGCAGCGACGCCGCUGGGGGAUGAAGGCCUUCGGGUUGUAAACUCCUGUCGACAGGGACGAAGCGUAAGUGACGGUACCUGUAUAAGAAGCACCGGCUAACUACGUGCCAGCACCGCGGUAAUACGUAGGGUGCGAGCGUUGUCCGGAAUUACUGGGCGUAAAGAGCUCGUAGGUGGUUUGUCGCGUCGUCUGUGAAAUUCCGGGGCUUAACUCCGGGCGUGCAGGCGAUACGGGCUGACUUGAGUGCUGUAGGGGAGACUGGAAUUCCUGGUGUACGGUGAAAUGCGCAGAUAUCAGGAGGAACACCGAUGGCGAAGGCAGGUCUCUGGGCAGUAACUGACGCUGAGGAGCGAAAGCAUGGGUAGCGAACAGGAUUAGAUACCCUGGUAGUCCAUGCCGUAAACGGCUGGGCGCUAGGUGUAGGGGGCUUCCACGUCUUCUGUGCCGUAGCUACGCAUUAAGCGCCCCGCUAAGGGGAUACGCCGCAAGGCUA